AUCUGGCUGGCUCAGUCAGAAGAGCACAUGACUUCUGAUCUCAAGGUCAUGAGUUCAAGUCCCAUGUUGGGUG
rnacentral:tRNA from 1 species